AUGAUUUCGUCUACAUCAACAUACCAAAACACACACACACACCUUCUCAAAAAAGAAGAACAUUGCAGAUUUUGCCGUGUAACAGAAUUCAAGUAUGAAACUAAGGGGUUAUGCUGCAGAAAAGGACAUGUAAGACUAGCCAAUCCAGAAACACCACGUGAACACAUGAGACUUUGUACAAGCAACGACUCCAAUGCAACAAAGUUUCGGCAAAAUAUAAGAUUUUUCAAUGGGUACUUCUCAUUUACUACUCUAUACUGCCACCUUGACAGAGACACAAGUGACAUGCGAACAACUAGUAUUUACACCUUUCGAGCACAUGGUCGGGUAUAUCAAAAUAUACACGCAUUUGGAAAUAGUCACCCAUAUCCAAAGCAUAUGGAGCUAUACUUCUACGACGAUGAUCCAAGCUUAGAGCAUCAGUCCCGCCGUUGUAGUGAGGAAAUGUAUGAGCAAGACAAGCAUGUGAUUGGAAUAAUAACAGACAUCCUACACGGUAACCUGUACUCUCAACAAUUUAGGAGAUUGGGCAAGCUCAAAACCUUGAGGACUAGAGACUCAUCUUGA
rnacentral:rRNA from 1 species